GACGAACGCUGGCGGCGUGCCUAAUACAUGCAAGUCGAGCGGACAGAAGGGAGCUUGCUCCCGGACGUUCGCGGCGGCCGGGUGAGUAACACGUAAGUAACCUGCCCCUUAGACUGGGAUAACUCCGGGAAACCGGAGCUAAUAAGGGACAAUCAAGAGAAUCACCUGAUUCCCUUUUGACAGACGGUUUCGGCUGUCAGCAUGGCAUGGGCCUGCGGCGCAUGAGCUAGUGGGUAAGGUAACGGCUUACCAAGGCGACGAUGCGUAGCCGACCUGAGAGGGUGAUCGGCCACACUGGGACUGAGACACGGCCCAGACUCCUACGGGAGGCAGCAGUAGGGAAUCUUCCGCAAUGGACGAAAGUCUGACGGAGCAACGCCGCGUGAGUGAGGAAGGCCUUCGGGUCGUAAAGCUCUGUUGUGAGGGAAGAACAAGUACCGGGGUAACUACCGGUACCUUGACGGUACCUCACCAGAAAGCCACGGCUAACUACGUGCCAGCAGCCGCAGUAACAC
rnacentral:rRNA from 1 species